rnacentral:rRNA from 1 species
GGAUUAGAUACCCUGGUAGUCCACGCUGUAAACUAUGUCAACUAGCCGUCGGGUCCAUUUAAGGAUUUGGUGGCGCAGCUAACGCGAUAAGUUGACCGCCUGGGGAGUACGGCCGCAAGGUUAAAACUCAAAGGAAUUGACGGGGGCCCGCACAAGCGGUGGAGCAUGUGGUUUAAUUCGAUGCAACGCGAAGAACCUUACCAGCCCUUGACAUCCUCGGAACUUUCCAGAAAUGGAUUGGUGCCUUCGGGAACCGAGUGACAGGUGCUGCAUGGCUGUCGUCAGCUCGUGCCG